AGCAGCCGCGGUAAUUCCAGCUCCAAUAGCGUAUAUUAAAGUUGUUGCAGUUAAAAAGCUCGUAGUUGAAUUUCGGGGUUAGUAGGUUGGUCAUGCCUCUGGUAUGUACUGAUCUCUCUGAUUCCUCCUUCCUGAUGAAUCGUAAUGCCAUUAAUUUGGUGUUGCGGGGAAUUUGGACUGUUACUUUGAAAAAAUUAGAGUGUUUAAAGCAAGCUAACGCUUGAAUACAUUAGCAUGGAAUAAUGAAAUAGGACGUUCGAUCCUAUUUUGUUGGUUUCUAGGAUUGACGUAAUGAUUAAUAGGGAUAGUUGGGGGCAUUAGUAUUCAAUUGUCAGAGGUGAAAUUCUUGGAUUUAUUGAAGACUAACUACUGCGAAAGCAUUUGCCAAGGAUGUUUUCAUUAAUCAAGAACGAAAGUUAGGGGAUCGAAGACGAUCAGAUACCGUCGUAGUCUUAACCAUAAACUAUGCCGACUAGGGAUCGGAUGAUGUUAAUUUUUUAAUGACUCAUUCGGCGCCUUACG
rnacentral:rRNA from 1 species